CCUACGGGAGGCAGCAGUGGGGAAUAUUGCGCAAUGGGCGAAAGCCUGACGCAGCGAAGCCGCGUGCGGGAUGAAGGUCUUCGGAUCGUUAACCUCUGUCAGCAGGGAAGAACGGUCACUGUGCUAAUCAGCAGUGCAUUGACGGUACCUGCAAAGGAAGCACCGGCUAACUCCGUGCCAGCAGCCGCGGUAAUACGGAGGGUGCGAGCGUUAAUCGGAAUUACUGGGCGUAAAGCGCUCGUAGGCGGUAUGUCAAGUCAAGGGUGAAAUCCCCGCGCUCAACGUGGGAACUGCCUUGGAAACUGGCGAACUUGAGUGUGUGGGAGGAUAGUGGAAUUCCAGGUGUAGGAGUGAAAUCCGUAGAUAUCUGGAGGAACAUCAGUGGCGAAGGCGACUAUCUGGCACAUAACUGACGCUGAGGAGCGAAAGCGUGGGUAGCAAACAGGAUUAGAUACCCGGGUAGUC
rnacentral:rRNA from 1 species